rnacentral:rRNA from 1 species
GACGAACGCUGGCGGCGUGCUUAACACAUGCAAGUCGAACGGACAGGCCCUGCUCUUGUGGGGUGCUCGAGUGGCGAACGGGUGAGUAACACGUGAGUAACCUGCCCUUGACUUUCGGAUAACUUCACGAAACUGGGGCUCAUAUCGGAUAGGAGCUCCUGCUGCAUGGUGGGGGUUGGAAAGUUUCGGCUGUUGGGGAUGGACUCGCGGCUUAUCGGCUUGUUGGUGGGGUAGUUGCUUUCCAAGGCUUUGACGGGUAGCCGGCCUGAGAGGGGUGACGGGGACAUUGGGCCUGAGGGACGGCGCAGACUGCAAUGGGAGGCAGUGGGGGGGAACAUUGCAGAAUGGGCGGGAGCCUGAUGCAGCAGUGUCGGGUGCGGGAUGAUGGGCUUUGGGUUAUGAACAGCUUUGGACUGUGACGAAGAGUGAGUGACGGUAAUGGGUAAAGAAGCAACGGCUAACUACGUG